UACGAGGGGUGCAAGCGUUGCUCGGAAUUAUUGGGCGUAAAGAGCUCGUAGGCGGUCUGUCGCGUCUGCUGUGAAAACUCAGGGCUUAACCCUGAGCUUGCAGUGGGUACGGGCAGACUAGAGUGCGGUAGGGGAGACUGGAAUUCCUGGUGUAGCGGUGGAAUGCGCAGAUAUCAGGAGGAACACCGGUGGCGAAGGCGGGUCUCUGGGCAGUAACUGACGCUGGAGGAGCGAAAAGCGUGGGGAGCGAACAGG
rnacentral:rRNA from 1 species